UGUGUGUGUGUGUGUGUGUGUGUGUGUGUAUAUAUAUAUAUACACACAUAUACAUACACACACACACACACA
rnacentral:miRNA from 1 species